UACGUAGGGUGCGAGCGUUAAUCGGAAUUACUGGGCGUAAAGCGUGCGCAGGCGGUUUUGUAAGCCAGAUGUGAAAGCCCCGGGCUCAACCUGGGAAUGGCAUUUGGGACUGCAAGGCUUGAGUGCGGCAGAGGAGACUGGAAUUCCUGGUGUAGCAGUGAAAUGCGUAGAUAUCAGGAGGAACACCGGUGGCGAAGGCGGGUCUCUGGGCCGAUACUGACGCUGAGGAGCGAAAGCGUGGGGAGCGAACAGG
rnacentral:rRNA from 1 species